UUAUGCAUGAUCUGGGUGUCCCAUUUCAAAUAUGUUUGUUUGUGUCUCUCAUUCUAACUUUUGUUCCUCUUGAUGCAAAUAUGUACUUGCUAUUCUAUAAAACAUAGUAUGGUGUUGUUUAGAUCCUGGCUCAUUAGAGACCUUGAAACAUGCAUGAAGAGGAGAGUUGUGCUCCCUGCCAGACAUAUGCAUAGUCCAUUGACAGAUCAUCUAUUCUUUUACUACAACAUAAAUCCCGAAACCUAACUGUUCUUUUUCGAUUGACUGAAUGUAAUGAAGACGAGCUGAAAAGGUUGGAGAUCGACAGUUCAUACUAUAAAUCCCGAGACUUGCUGUUCUUUUGGAUUGGGUAUAUUUAAUGAACAUCCGUUGAAAAGGAUUUGUCCAUGCAAAAAAACAUAUCUAAAGGACAACUGGAGAUAUUUAAUGUGGAGAUUUUAGAAGUACACAAUUACUCCUUAGGAUUUUGGAGAUUAAGCCCGAAAGAGUUCUGUUCCGUGUCUUCGACCAUAUGUUUGUGCAUUGGCUUACGAAGUGGACAACCAUUACCAUGAUCAAUCAUGUACGUCAGAGUUUGCCUCGCUAUGCUUGCAUGAUUAACUCACCAAAGUAUACUUGGUAACGUUAAUGCCAGGACUUACCUUUCCGAUGCUAUUGGUAUAUUGGAAUCUAUAUGGUCUGUUGUCACCAAUUGAUGUUUAAGGUCGCCCAAGCGGUUCUAAGUCUCUCAGCAAGCUACCGGUCUGGAGUCGCAUACAAAUAUUUUUGGAGAUUGCUUUGCGUGAAAGGUAAUCUGCAGCUUGGCAUGCCAUAUGGUGAUCUAUGUGUAUGUUCUUUACCUAUUUAAUAUAGCGAUGAUGUGGUGUAUAGGCCACAUGGAUAUUUGUGCCUUUUUGAGCUUAUCUGUGAGAAAUCAAAUGGAGUUGAGAUGACCACUAUAUAAGAGUUGCGUGUUAUGAAUCUACAUAUAGGAUUGGUAAGUAUUUGUUGUUUACUCGACGGUUUACCUUUAAAUAGGACAU